rnacentral:misc_RNA from 1 species
CAAUAACAUGAUACAGAAUCAACCUGGAAUAAUAUUCAUGUUAGCAUACAAGAAAAGUUGCACAUAUAUCAUAAAGAAAAAUAUUUAGAUAGUUAAUUACUGCUUAUAUGAUUAUUCUUACAAACAAUGAGUGAGAUUUCAAUCAAACAAAAUAUAGGAAUAUAGCCUCUUGACAUUCAGAUAAUAACAAAUUGGAUUUCAUUUGAUGAACAGAUUAACGGAAAAUAGCUCCAAUUUCAUACGUUUAUUACAUACUAAAUAUUAAAAUGUAUAGAAAACAAUUAUCAUUUAAACAGAGUCCAUUCUGUAUCAUUCCCAGGUUUGAGAACAAAAUAUACAAGAAACUAUAGAUAUUGAUAUAACUAUUACAUAAAGCAGAAAGGCUAGAAUUUGCAAUAAAACAUUGGUUCCAAGGUCACGUUAUGAAUAUCAUAUAGUUACAUCAAGAAGGAAAAAAGAAUAACUAGCCCUUUUUUCUUUCUUUUUCUGUGGAUGAAGAAGAAUUUAUUACAGUAAAAAAAUAGAAAAAAAUU